GAUGAAGAACGUAGCGAAAUGCGAUAAGUAAUGUGAAUUGCAGAAUUCAGUGAAUCACCGAGUCUUUGAACGCACAUUGCGCCCCCUGGUAUUCCGGGGGGCAUGCCUGUCCGAGCGUCAUUGCCGCCCUCAAGCACGGCUUGUGUGUUGGGCCCCCGCCCCCCGGCUUCGGGGGGCGGGCCCGAAAGGCAGCGGCGGCACCGCGUCCGGUCCUCGAGCGUAUGGGGCUUCGUCACCCGCUCUGUAGGCCCGGCCGGCGCCCGCCGGCGACCCCAAUCAAUCUUUCCAGGUUGACCUCGGAUCAGGUAGGGAUACCCGCUGAACUUAAGCAUAUCAAUAAGCGGAGGA
rnacentral:misc_RNA from 1 species